rnacentral:rRNA from 1 species
GACGAACGCUGGCGGCGCGCCUAACACAUGCAAGUCGAACGAGCGAGAGAGAGCUUGCUUUCUCAAGCGAGUGGCGAACGGGUGAGUAACGCGUGAGGAACCUGCCUCAAAGAGGGGGACAACAGUUGGAAACGAUUGAUAAUACCUCAUGACAUGUUUUGCCGCAUGAACGAAAACAUCAAAGAUUUAUCGCUGAAAGAUGGCCUCGCGUCCCAUUAGCUAGUUGGUGAGGUAACGGCCCACCAAGGCGACGAUGGGUAGCCGGACUGAGAGGUUGACCGGCCACAUUGGGACUGAGAUACGGCCCAGG